GUUAUAUUGCCUGCAGAUCAUAAUCAAUAAAACUGAAAUUUUGUUAGUACAUCUUGUAGACGUAUUUUACCCGAAACACAUAUAAAUCUUAAAUGAAAUGUUCGAAAGAGAAAAGAAUAAUGUCGACGAAGAAUCAAAUGAAAGGGAUGAAGGAAGAGCAGUGGAAUCUAUCAACUAUACGAGAAAUCUCAUCAAUUGCUUAAGAAAUACAGGACGUUUCAUGAAGAUUUAUUGGAAGAUUAUUUUUGCACUUUUCUGGGCACUUUUUCUUUUACCUUUUCCCUUGGUCUACAAUUAUUUGAUGUAUGUAAUGCACUUAUAUAAUACUGGCAAAUCCAAAUUGUGUCGUUCCUGAUACUGGCAACUAAGUGACCACAUUACUGUCAAUUUUUCCUAAUACUGGCAAUGAAGUGACCCAUUACUGCCUAUAUUAUAUUAAAUGCACGGAAUUUACUUCAUUCUUGGGAGGAAUCGUUUGAAAAUACUAAAGGAUGUAAUGAGAAAUUAUUUUUAGUAAUCAGAUUAUCUUGUGAAUCGAGGUAAGUCUUACAUUAUAAGAAGUUUCAGUAACGUUCGUCAAUAGAUUUUCAUUUUCACAUAAUAAACCUACAAAAAAAUUUUAAUAUACAAAAAUCAGUUUAUAAAUAAAACAUAUUCAAAAGUUUUUCUGCAAAAAAUAUUUAUAUAAAAAAAUAUGUAAAU